GGACAGAAUCUGCUCAACAUAAUUCCUAAAGUCGAUACUGAACUGGUGCAGCUGGUCGGCGUUCAUUGUCCUGAGGCAUUUCACAGCAAUGUCGCCCUCAAUGCGAGUAGUCAACAGCCAACCUUCCCUUAUCCAACCUUCCUUUUUCGCUGGCAACUCUAUGAGAUCGAAAACCCGCGGCGCAUUCACUGUUGUGUAUUUUUUGCAACCAUUUUAAGCGCAUAUGCUUCAUAUUGGGCACGAAGGAGCCGGAAACGUUUGAGAUACAGAUUAAAGGAUAACCGUUGGACAUUGGGGACAUGGUAGGUCCCCUUGCCACAGAGAUGCUCGCCAAUUGGGAGGAGAAGGCGAUAAAAGAGAAGACGGAUGGAUUGUGGGAUUAGAUGGUAGAGUCGAAGUAGCAUUGCGGGCAGCUGCGGCAACACACUGAAAUCAGCAAGGGUGAUGUAUUUUGAGUGUAAAGGAAGAAUCUCGCUGGUUGAGGUUGGAUGCUUUGAAUUAGAUAGACUGCGUGUUAUGCUCCAUUCCAAAUCAUCGGUCCAAUGAGACUAUUGCUCAACUGAAUCCUUCACAGUUUUAUUUGUCUUUGGUAGUCCUUGGGUGAUUUAUAGAUUGAAAGAGAGAAGUAGUUUGUCUGGUUGACAGUCAGUUGCAGCACUAAAUUUGGACUAAAGAGUGUUACCAUUUGCUCAGUUGAAACUUGAUGGUGACCAAUUCCAAUUCAUAUUUAUGUUUAAAAAUGUAGUUCUUAUUAUUGGUGUAUCCAACAAACCUGAUGGUCAAGGGG
rnacentral:sRNA from 1 species